GACGAACGCUGGCGGCGUGCCUAAUACAUGCAAGUAGAACGCACAGUUUAUACCGUAGCUUGCUACACCAUAAACUGUGAGUUGCGAACGGGUGAGUAACGCGUAGGUAACCUGCCUGGUAGCGGGGGAUAACUAUUGGAAACGAUAGCUAAUACCGCAUAAUAUUGAUUAUUGCAUGAUAAUUGAUUGAAAGAUGCUAUUGCAUCACUACCAGAUGGACCUGCGUUGUAUUAGCUAGUAGGUGAGGUAACGGCUCACCUAGGCGACGAUACAUAGCCGACCUGAGAGGGUGAUCGGCCACACUGGGACUGAGACACGGCCCAGACUCCUACGGGAGGCAGCAGUAGGGAAUCUUCGGCAAUGGACGAAAGUCUGACCGAGCAACGCCGCGUGAGUGAAGAAGGUUUUCGGAUCGUAAAGCUCUGUUGUAAGAGAAGAACGGGUGUGAGAGUGGAAAGUUCACACCGUGACGGUAUCUUACCAGAAAGGGACGGCUAACUACGUG
rnacentral:rRNA from 1 species